UGACUAAAUACUUGUGUUUCUAGCUCCAACAGUGCAGUAAUAUCUGACUAAAUACUUGUGUUUCUAGCUCCAACAGUGCAGUAAUAUCUGACUAAAUACUUGUGUUUCUAGCUCCAACAGUGCAGUAAUAUCUGACUAAAUACUUGUGUUUCUAGCUCCAACAGUGCAGUAAUAUCUGACUAAAUACUUGUGUUUCUAGCUCCAACAGUGCAGUAAUAUCUGACUAAAUACUUGUGUUUCUAGCUCCAACAGUGCAGUAAUAUCUGACUAAAUACUUGUGUUUCUAGCUCCAACAGUGCAGUAAUAUCUGACUAAAUACUUGUGUUUCUAGCUCCAACAGUGCAGUAAUAUCUGACUAAAUGCUUGUGUUUCUAGCUCCAACAGUGCAGUAAUAUCUGACUAAAUGCUUGUGUUUCUAGCUCCAACAGUGCAGUAAUAUCUGACUAAAUACUUGUGUUUCUAGCUCCAACAGUGCAGUAAUAUCUGACUAAAUACUUGUGUUUCUAGCUCCAACAGUGCAGUAAUAUUUGACUAAAUACUUGUGUUUCUAGCUCCAACAGUGCAGUAAUAUCUGACUAAAUACUUGUGUUUCUAGCUCCAACAGUGCAGUAAUAUCUGACUAAAUACUUGUGUUUCUAGCUCCAACAGUACAGUAAUAUCUGACUAAAUGCUUGUGUUUCUAGCUCCAACAGUGCAGUAAUAUCUGACUAAAUGCUUGUGUUUCUAGCUCCAACAGUGCAGUAAUAUCUGACUAAAUACUUGUGUUUCUAGCUCCAACAGUGCAGUAAUAUCUGACUAAAUACUUGUUUCUAGCUCCAACAGUGCAGUAAUAUCUGACUAAAUACUUGUGUUUCUAGCUCCAACAGUACAGUAAUAUCUGACUAAAUACUUGUGUUUCUAGCUCCAACAGUGCAGUAAUAUCUAACAAUUCACAACCAUAUACACACAUCUAAAAGUAAAAUAAUGGAAUUAAGUAUAUAAAUAAAUAAGUAUAAUAUAUAUAAGUAUAAGUAUAUACAUAAAUAAGUAUAAUAUAUAGAAGUAUAUAAAUAUUAGGACGAGCAAUGUCGUAGUCUAAUAGAAUACAGUAUAUACAUACAGUAUACAGUAUACAUACAGUAACAUUAUUAAACUGACUAGUGUUCCAUUAUUAAAGUGACCAGUGAUUCCAUGUCUAUAGGGCAGCAGUCUCUAAGGUGCAGGGAUGAGAGUGACUAGUGAUUCCAUGUCUAUAGGGCAGCAGUCUCUAAGGUGCAGGGAUGAGAGUGACUAGUGAUUCCAUGUCUAUAGGGCAGCAGCCUCUAAGGUGCAGGGUUGAGAGUGACUAGUGAUUCCAUGUCUAUAGGGCAGCAGUCUCUAAGGUGCAGGGAUGAGAGUGACUAGUGAUUCCAUGUCUAUAGGGCAGCAGUCUCUAAGGUGCAGGGAUGAGAGUGACUAGUGUUCCAUUAUUAAAGUGACCAGUGAUUCCAUGUCUAUAGGGCAGCAGUCUCUAAGGUGCAGGGAUGAGAGUGACUAGUGAUUCCAUGUCUAUAGGGCAGCAGCCUCUAAGGUGCAGGGAUGAGAGUGACUAGUGUUCCAUUAUUAAAGUGACCAGUGAUUCCAUGUCUAUAGGGCAGCAGCCUCUAAGGUGCAGGGAUGAGAGUGACUAGUGUUCCAUUAUUAAAGUGACCAGUGAUUCCAUGUCUAUAGGGCAGCAGUCUCUAAGGUGCAGGGAUGAGAGUGACUAGUGAUUCCAUGUCUAUAGGGCAGCAGUCUCUAAGGUGCAGGGAUGAGAGUGACUAGUGAUUCCAUGUCUAUAGGGCAGCAGCCUCUAAGGUGCAGGGAUGAGAGUGACUAGUGAUUCCAUGUCUAUAGGGCAGCAGUCUCUAAGGUGCAGGGUUGAGAGUGACUAGUGAUUCCAUGUCUAUAGGGCAGCAGUCUCUAAGGUGCAGGGAUGAGAGUGACUAGUGAUUCCAUGUCUAUAGGGCAGCAGUCUCUAAGGUGCAGGGAUGAGAGUGACUAGUGAUUCCAUGUCUAUAGGGCAGCAGCCUCUAAGGUGCAGGGAUGAGAGUGACUAGUGUUUCCAUGUCUAUAGGGCAGCAGUCUCUAAGGUGCAGGGAUGAGAGUGACUAGUGUUUCCAUGUCUAUAGGGCAGCAGCCUCUAAGGUGCAGGGAUGAGAGUGACUAGUGAUUCCAUGUCUAUAGGGCAGCAGCCUCUAAGGUGCAGGGAUGAGAGUGACUAGUGUUUCCAUGUCUAUAGGGCAGCAGCCUCUAAGGUGCAGGGAUGAGAGUGACUAGUGUUCCAUUAUUAAAGUGACCAGUGAUUCCAUGUCUAUAGGGCAGCAGCCUCUAAGGUGCAGGGAUGAGAGUGACUAGUGAUUCCAUGUCUAUAGGGCAGCAGUCUCUAAGGUGCAGGGAUGAGAGUGACCAGUGAUUCCAUGUCUAUAGGGCAGCAGCCUCUAAGGUGCAGGGAUGAGAGUGACUAGUGAUUCCAUGUCUAUAGGGCAGCAGCCUCUAAGGUGCAGGGAUGAGAGUGACUAGUGAUUCCAUGUCUAUAGGGCAGCAGCCUCUAAGGUGCAGGGAUGAGAGUGACUAGUGUUUCCAUGUCUAUAGGGCAGCAGCCUCUAAGGUGCAGGGUUGAGAGUGACUAGUGAUUCCAUGUCUAUAGGGCAGCAGUCUCUAAGGUGCAGGGAUGAGAGUGACCAGUGAUUCCAUGUCUAUAGGGCAGCAGUCUCUAAGGUGCAGGGAUGAGAGUGACUAGUGAUUCCAUGUCUAUAGGGCAGCAGCCUCUAAGGUGCAGGGAUGAGAGUGACUAGUGAUUCCAUGUCUAUAGGGCAGCAGUCUCUAAGGUGCAGGGAUGAGAGUGACCAGUGAUUCCAUGUCUAUAGGGCAGCAGCCUCUAAGGUGCAGGGAUGAGAGUGACUAGUGAUUCCAUGUCUAUAGGGCAGCAGCCUCUAAGGUGCAGGGAUGAGAGUGACUAGUGAUUCCAUGUCUAUAGGGCAGCAGUCUCUAAGGUGCAGGGAUGAGAGUGACCAGUGAUUCCAUGUCUAUAGGGCAGCAGCCUCUAAGGUGCAGGGAUGAGAGUGACUAGUGAUUCCAUGUCUAUAGGGCAGCAGCCUCUAAGGUGCAGGGAUGAGAGUGACUAGUGAUUCCAUGUCUAUAGGGCAGCAGUCUCUAAGGUGCAGGGUUGAGAGUGACUAGUGUUCCAUUAUUAAAGUGACCAGUGAUUCCAUGUCUAUAGGGCAGCAGCCUCUAAGGUGCAGGGAUGAGAGUGACUAGUGUUCCAUGUCUAUAGGGCAGCAGUCUCUAAGGUGCAGAGUUGAGAGUGACUAGUGAUUCCAUGUCUAUAGGGCAGCAGUCUCUAAGGUGCAGGGUUGAGAGUGACUAGUGAUUCCAUGUCUAUAG